rnacentral:sRNA from 1 species
AGUUCGGCUGGUUCUUCUGUCGCCGGCUUCAGCAGCCCGCGUCCGGGCAGGAAUAGAAGAUGAACAAACCCAUAACAUCAUCAACAUAUGUGCGCUGCCUCAAUGUUGGACUAAUUAGGAAGCUGUCAGAUUUUAUUGAUCCUCAAGAAGGAUGGAAGAAGUUAGCUGUAGCUAUUAAAAAACCAUCUGGUGAUGAUAGAUACAAUCAGUUUCACAUAAGGUAACAGAUAAAAUUCUUUGUAUUUUUAAAUUCUUACAUCACAAUAUGGAAUGAUUAAUUGGUAUAAGUACUGUCUAAUAUGGCAGUUUAGAAAGUAAACCUCUCCACUAUGGAGGAGACAUUGGUAGUAGGUAACCUCUUUUUGAUUGUUCCUUUUGCAGUUUUGUCUUUGUCCAAUAUGUCAAUACGGCUAAUACUGUGAUCUCUCAAAUAAGUUUUUUGGGUUAGAAUGAAGAUUCCCACCUUUUCUGUGGUUCCCUGUUUGGCAAGCAAAGUGAAGUUCACUCUGCCUCACACUUCUCAUUUCCAGAUUAAAG